GACGAACGCUGGCGGCGUGCCUAACACAUGCAAGUCGAACGGAGUUAAGUCUUCGGAUUUAACUUAGUGGCGAACGGGUGAGUAACGCGUGAGAAACCUGCCUUUCAGUGGGGGACAACAGUUGGAAACGACUGCUAAUACCGCAUAAUGUUAUUUGGGGCAUCCCCGAAUAACCAAAGCUUUAUGUGCUGAAAGAUGGUCUCGCGUCUGAUUAGCUAGUUGGUGAGGUAACGGCUCACCAAGGCGACGAUCAGUAGCCGGUCUGAGAGGAUGAACGGCCACAUUGGGACUGGGAUACGGCCCAG
rnacentral:rRNA from 1 species